rnacentral:rRNA from 1 species
CAGCCGCCACGGGAAAACGUAGGGUCCGAGCGUUGUCCGGAAUUAUUGGGCGUAAAGGGCUCGUAGGCGGUUUGUUGCGUCGGGAGUGAAAACCCAGGGCUUAACUUUGGGCUUGCUUUCGAUACGGGCAGACUUGAGGCAUUGAGGGGAGAACGGAAUUCCUGGUGUAGCGGUGAAAUGCGCAGAUAUCAGGAGGAACACCGGUGGCGAAGGCGGUUCUCUGGCAAUGUUCUGACGCUGAGGUGCGAAAGCGUGGGGAGCAAACAGGAUUAGAUACCCGCGUAGUCCCUGUCUCUUAUAC